AGUAGUUUGAUCAGUGGCUCGAGGACGAACGCUGGCGGCGUGCCUAACACAUGCAAGUCGAACGGACUGAUAGGAGCUUGCUCCUUGAAAGUUAGUGGCGGACGGGUGAGUAACGCGUGAGGAACCUGCCUUUCAGAGGGGGAUAACGUCUUGAAAAGGACGCUAAUACCGCAUGACACCGGAUUGUCGCAUGGCAGACCGGUCAAAGGAGCAAUCCGCUGAAAGAUGGCCUCGCGUCUGAUUAGAUAGUUGGUGAGGUAACGGCUCACCAAGUCGACGAUCAGUAGCCGGACUGAGAGGUUGAACGGCCACAUUGGGACUGAGACACGGCCCAGACUCC
rnacentral:rRNA from 1 species